rnacentral:rRNA from 1 species
AGUGAACGCUGGCGGUAGGCCUAACACAUGCAAGUCGAACGGCAGCACAGUAAGAGCUUGCUCUUACGGGUGGCGAGUGGCGGACGGGUGAGGAAUACAUCGGAAUCUACUUUUUCGUGGGGGAUAACGUAGGGAAACUUACGCUAAUACCGCAUACGACCUACGGGUGAAAGCAGGGGAUCUUCGGACCUUGCGCGAUUGAAUGAGCCGAUGUCGGAUUAGCUAGUUGGCGGGGUAAGGGCCCACCAAGGCGACGAUCCGUAGCUGGUCUGAGAGGAUGAUCAGCCACACUGGAACUGAGACACGGUCCAGACUCCUACGGGAGGCAGCAGUGGGGAAUAUUGGACAAUGGGCGCAAGCCUGAUCCAGCCAUACCGCGUGGGUGAAGAAGGCCUUCGGGCUGUAAAGCCCUUUUGUUGGGAAAGAAAAGCAGCAGGUUAAUACCCCGCUGUUCUGACGGUACCCAAAGAAUAAGCACCGGCCAACUUCGUG